UGGUGGUGACGAUGGACGAAGAAACUGUGUUAGGUGACGACAUCAUGAUGCUACGCUUGCGUACAUGCAUGCAUGCAUGGCACUUGUAUCUGCAUGUUCUGGAUACAUGACAAGUGUUCUUAUGCAAGGUGACAACAAAUCGCAUGCUUUUUUUUUAUGCAAUGAAAAGAAACAUAUCAUGCAUUUGGUGUGAUGGCCG
rnacentral:lncRNA from 1 species